GGAGCGGGCCGCGCGGCCGCUCGCGGCUUCGCGCCGCGGGAGGAAAGUCCGGGCUCCGCAGGGCAGGGUGGUGGAUAACGUCCACCGGGGGCGACCCCAGGGAAAGUGCCACAGAGAGCAGACCGCCCCGCGCCGCGAGGCGCGGGGCAAGGGUGAAACGGUGCGGUAAGAGCGCACCAGCGGCCCGGGCGACCGGGCCGGCUCGGCAAACCCCACCCGGAGCAAGGCCGAAUAAGGAGACGCUCGAGGGCGGCCCGCCCGAGUCUCCGGGUUGGCCGCACGAGGCGGAGGGCAACUUCCGUCCCAGAUGGAUGGCCGCGGGCCCGCCUUUCGGGGCGGGCGACAGAACCCGGCUUACAGGCCCGCUCCGGUU
rnacentral:RNase_P_RNA from 1 species